rnacentral:rRNA from 1 species
ACUCCUACGGGAGGCAGCAGUGGGGAAUUUUGGACAAUGGGCGAAAGCCUGAUCCAGCAAUGCCGCGUGUGUGAAGAAGGCCUUCGGGUUGUAAAGCACUUUUGUCCGGAAAGAAAUCCUCUGGGUUAAUACCUCGGGGGGAUGACGUACCGAAGAAUA